UACGUAGGGUGCGAGCGUUUAAUCGGAAUUACUGGGCGUAAAGCGUGCGCAGGCGGUUCGUUAAGUCAGAUGUGAAAGCCCCGGGCUCAACCUGGGAACUGCAUUUGAAACUGGCGGGCUUGAGUGUGGCAGAGGGGGUGGAAUUCCGCGUGUAGCAGUGAAAUGCGUAGAGAUGCGGAGGAACACCGAUGGCGAAGGCAGCCCCUGGGCCAACACUGACGCUCAGGCACGAAAGCGUGGGGAGCAAACAGG
rnacentral:rRNA from 1 species